GCCAGGUGUGGUGGUGCAUGCCUGUAGUCCCAGCUACUCAGGAAGCUGAGGCAGGGGGAUGGCUUGAGCCCAGGAGUUCGAGGCUGCAGUGAGCUAUGAUCACACACACCACUGCACUCCAGCCUGGGCAACNNNNNNNNNNGUUGCCCAGGCUGGAGUGCAGUGGUGUGUGUGAUCAUAGCUCACUGCAGCCUCGAACUCCUGGGCUCAAGCCAUCCCCCUGCCUCAG
rfam:Gorilla gorilla gorilla genomic chromosome, chr1, whole genome shotgun sequence